rnacentral:rRNA from 1 species
UACGUAGGGUGCGAGCGUUGUCCGGAAUUAUUGGGCGUAAAGAGCUCGUAGGCGGCCUGUCGCGUCGGAUGUGAAAGCCCGGGGCUUAACCCCGGGUCUGCAUUCGAUACGGGCAGGCUAGAGUGUGGUAGGGGAGAUCGGAAUUCCUGGUGUAGCGGUGAAAUGCGCAGAUAUCAGGAGGAACACCGGUGGCGAAGGCGGAUCGCUGGGCCAUUACUGACGCUGAGGAGCGAAAGCGUGGGGAGCGAACAGG